GACGAAGGAUUCAAGCGUUGUCCGGAUUUACUGGGUUUAAAGGGUGCGUAGGCGGAAAUAUAAGUCAGUGGUGAAAUCCCGCAGCUCAACUGCGGAACUGCCAUUGAAACUGCAUUUCUUGAAUACGGUUGAGGUAGAUGGAAUGUAACAUGUAGCGGUGAGAUGCUUAGAUAUGUUACAGAACUCCGAUUGCGAAGGCAGUCUACUAAGCCGUUAUUGACGCUGAGGCACGAAAGCGUGGGGAGCAAACAGG
rnacentral:rRNA from 1 species